AUACAGAGGAUGCGAGCGUUAUCCGGAUUUAUUGGGUUUAAAGGGAGCGUAGGUGGGAUAUUAAGUCAGCUGUGAAAGUUUGGGGCUCAACCUGAAAAUUGCAGUUGAUACUGUUUUCCUUGAGUACGGUACAGGUGGGCGGAAUUCGUGGUGUAGCGGUGAAAUGCUUAGAUAUCACGAAGAACUCCGAUCGCGAAGGCAGCUCACCGGGCCGGAACUGACACUGAUGCUCGAAAGUGCGGGUAUCAAACAGGAUUAGAUACCCUGGUAGUCCGCACAGUAAACGAUGAAUACUCGCUGUUUGCGAUACACGGUAAGCGGCCAAGCGAAAGCGUUAAGUAUUCCAACUGGGGAGUACGCCGGCAACGGUGA
rnacentral:rRNA from 1 species